rnacentral:rRNA from 1 species
GACAGAGGUGCCAAGCGUUAGGCGGAAUCACUGGGCUUAAAGCGUGUGUAGGUGGAAGCGUAAGUACCUUGUGAAAUCCCACGGCUUAACCGUGGAACUGCUUGGUAUACUGCGUUUCUUGAGCCAACUAGGGGCUAUCGGAACAAGUGGUGUAGCGGUGAAAUGCGUAGAUAUCGGAAGGAACAUCAGUGGCGAAGGCGACUUCCUGGACCAAUACUGACGCUCAGGUGCGAAAGCGUGGGGAGCAAACAGG